AUUAAAAAUGAUGGAAUAAUGAAAAUGAGGAGAAAAGGGCGAAAGCAAUAGGGCAACAGAAAGCAUGUGAGAUUGGAGCGCAUUCGUUUGGAGUAUUGGUGUUUGGUUCGUGGUCGUCCCCUACUCGAGGAAUACGGCGUGUUUGGAUGUGGCUGCUAAGGUUGGAAUUUAUGUAGACUAAAGGGAUGGAGUGUUUGUGAAUUUCUAGGCAAUGGGGUUUUUAUUAUUUUGUAGUGUUAAUGAUUAUUAUUCAUAAAAAUUACAAAAAGCAAAAACUUUAGGACUUUAGGACUUUAUGCUUUGCUUGUAUUUGGUAAGGUUAAGUAUGUGAAAAAGGUGAUGAGGGUUUUCCAAAGUGAUAUAAAGAAAUGAACUUUUUGCUUUUGGAAUAUCAACUGCCUAACUCACUA